GCCCCCUUGUGGGGUGACGGCCUGCCUUUUGUAUAAUGAGUCUGCGAGUUAUUGCCCGUAGCAAGCUUAAGUCGGUUCCCGGCGAAAGCGCAGCGAAAGCAAGUCCAAAUAGGGCGCUUAGUUGCUGGCAAUAGACCCGAAGCGGAGGUGAUCUAACCAUGAUCAGGAUGAAACUUUGGUAAAACAAAGUGAAGGUCCGAACUCUUCAGUCUUGAGAAACUGUGAGAUGAGUUGUGGUUAGGAGCGAAAGACUAAUCAAACCCUGUGAUAGCUGGUUCUUUCCGAAAUAUAUUUGGGUAUAGCGUCGAGCGCUGAUUUGCGGAGGUAGAGCACUAAAUAAGCUAGGGCCCCUACCGGGGUACUGAACUUAAUUAAACUCCGAAUACCGCAGAGUGAAGCCCGGGAGUCAGACUGUGGGGGAUAACCUUCAUAGUCGAGAGGAGAAUAAUCCAAACCAUCAGUUAAGGUCCCAAAAUAUGGCUCAGUGAAAAAGGAUGUGAUUUUGCUUAGACAAUGGGGAUGUUGGCUUAGAGGCAGCCAUCAUUUAAACAGUGCGUAACAGCUGACCCAUCGAGCGAAAUUGCGCCGAAAAUGAUCGGGACUUAAGCCGUAUACCGAAGCUAUGGCUGCCAUCGCAAGAUGGCGGGGUAGGAAAGCGUUCCAAAUGCAGCGAAGUGGAAGGGGUAACCGACCAUGGAGCGUUUGGAAGUGAGAAUGCAGACAUAAGUAACGAUAAAGAUGGUUAAAAUCCAUCUCGCCUCAAUUCCAAGGAUUCCUGGGGAAGGUUCGUCCUCCCAGGGUUAGUCGGGAGCUAAGACGAGGCCGUAAGGAGUAGUCGAUGCACAGCUGGUUCAAUAUUCCAGUACCACCUUAUUAGAGUUCGAUGCCAAGGAGUGACGGAGAAAGUUAACACGAGCGGGGCGCUGAUUUCCGUUCAAGUCCGUAGGUUAUUCGGGAGUAAAAUACCGGAUCUAUCUGAAAGACGAUGAAAAGCUGAGGCUACGGCCGAAGCGAUUCGUGUGAUACUCGGCUUCCAGGAAAAGCUUCGUGGCUAUUUGAUAGGGUGCCCGUACCGUAAACCGACACAGGUGGAAUAGAUGAGUAUUCUAAGGCGCGUGGGUUAAAUCUCUCUAAGGAACUCGGCAAACUGACCCCGUAUGUUAGCUAUAAGGGGUGCCUCGCAAGAGGCCACAGAUAAGAGUGUCAACCGACUGUUUAGCAAAAACACAGCUCUCUGCUAAGUCGCAAGACGACGUAUAGGGAGUGACUUGUGACCAAUGCGGAAAGGUGAAAGCCUGGGGUGCAAGCUCCGGGUCUAAGCCCCCGUGAAUGUCGGCCGUAACUAUAACGGUCCUAAGGUAGCGAAAUUCCUUGUC
rnacentral:rRNA from 1 species